rnacentral:rRNA from 2 species
ACGGGUGCGUAACGCGUGGGAAUCUGCCCUUGGGUUCGGAAUAACAGUUAGAAAUGACUGCUAAUACCGGAUGAUGUCUUCGGACCAAAGAUUUAUCGCCCAAGGAUGAGCCCGCGUAAGAUUAGCUAGUUGGUGGGGUAAUGGCCCACCAAGGCGACGAUCUUUAGCUGGUCUGAGAGGAUGAUCAGCCACACUGGGACUGAGACACGGCCCAGACUCCUACGGGAGGCAGCAGUGGGGAAUAUUGGACAAUGGGCGAAAGCCUGAUCCAGCAAUGCCGCGUGAGUGAUGAAGGCCUUAGGGUUGUAAAGCUCUUUUACCAGGGAUGAUAAUGACAGUACCUGGAGAAUAAGCUCCGGCUAACUCCGUGCCAGCAGCCGCGGUAAUACGGAGGGAGCUAGCGUUGUUCGGAAUUACUGGGCGUAAAGCGUACGUAGGCGGUUAUUCAAGUCAGAGGUGAAAGCCCGGGGCUCAACCCCGGAACGGCCUUUGAAACUAGAUAGCUAGAGUCUUGGAGAGGUUAGUGGAAUUCCGAGUGUAGAGGUGAAAUUCGUAGA